rnacentral:rRNA from 1 species
CCUGGGGGGCAAGUCUGGUGCCAGCAGCCGCGGUAAUUCCAGCUCCAAUAGCGUAUAUUAAAGUUGUUGCAGUUAAAAAGCUCGUAGUUGAAUUUCGGGACUAAUAUGUCGGUCGUACUUUGUACGUACUAGCAUUAUUGGUUUCUCCCUUCUGACGAACCACGAUGUCAUUAAUUUGGUGUCGCGGGAAAUCAGGACUGUUACUUUGAAAAAAUUAGAGUGUUUAAAGCAAGCUCGCGCUUGAAUACAUUAGCAUGGAAUAAUGAAAUAGGACGUUUGAUUCUAUUUGGUUGGUUUCUAGGAUCGACGUAAUGAUUAAUAGGGAUAGUUGGGGGCAUUAGUAUUCAAUUGUCAGAGGUGAAAUUCUUGGAUUUAUUGAAGACUAACUACUGCGAAAGCAUUUGCCAAGGAUGUUUUCAUUAAUCAAGAACGAAAGUUAGGGGAUCGAAGACGAUCAGAUACCGUCGUAGUCUUAACCAUAAACUAUGCCGACUAGGGAUCGGAUGAUGU